GACGAACGCUGGCGGCGUGCUUAACACAUGCAAGUCGAACGGAAAGGCCCUGCUUUUGUGGGGUGCUCGAGUGGCGAACGGGUGAGUAACACGUGAGUAACCUGCCCUUGACUUUGGGAUAACUUCAGGAAACUGGGGCUAAUACCGGAUAGGAGCUCCUGCUGCAUGGUGGGGGUUGGAAAGUUUCGGCGGUUGGGGAUGGACUCGCGGCUUAUCAGCUUGUUGGUGGGGUAGUGGCUUACCAAGGCUUUGACGGGUAGCCGGCCCGGGAGGGUGAACGGCCACAUUGGGACUGAGGUACGGCCCAGACUCCUACGGGAGGCAGCAGUGGGGAAUAUUGCACAAUGGGCGGAAGCCUGAUGCAGCAACGCCGCGUGCGUGAUGACGGCCUUCGGGUUGUAAACCGCUUUCGCCUGUGACGAAGCGUGAGUGACGGUAAUGGGUAAAGAAGCACCGGCUAACUACGUG
rnacentral:rRNA from 1 species